UGGUGCUUGCCUCAGCAUCAUGUAACUAAAAUUGGAAUGAUACAAAAAGAUUAAUAUAGCCCUUGUACAAGGAUGCCACAAAAAUUUAUGAAGCAUUUCAUAUUUCC